rnacentral:misc_RNA from 1 species
AUUGUUAUUGUAAGGUUACCCAUUGUAGCAAUGCAAGUGUGGAAGAUAUGAAUCACGUGGUUGUUUUACUUGCAUUGAUAACUUCAUAUUUUAUUGAUUCUUGCUUAAGAGUAUGAAAUUGAAAGAACGUAAAUUGUCUUACCAGUAUCCACCAUUAAUUUCAUCGCAAAUAUGGUUUGAGAAGUCCUUGCUCCAAGCCUAAGAUUUGGACAAAAAUUGGAUCGCUCGAUCACUGUAACGCUAACCCCUACCUCACUUUUUGGCAGGGUUUCACAAAUGCUGUGAAA